UACGGGGGGAGCAAGCGUUGUUCGGAUUUACUGGGCGUAAAGGGCGCGUAGGCGGCGUGACAAGUCACUUGUGAAAUCUCCGGGCUUAACCCGGAGCGGCCAAGUGAUACUGCAGUGCUAGAGUGCAGAAGGGGCAAUCGGAAUUCUUGGUGUAGCGGUGAAAUGCGUAGAUAUCAAGAGGAACACCUGAGGUGAAGACGGGUUGCUGGGCUGACACUGACGCUGAGGCGCGAAAGCCAGGGGAGCAAACGGG
rnacentral:rRNA from 1 species